CAGAGAAAAACACCAUAGAAGUUUAAACACUGAAAAAGUUAAAAUAUAACUGAGUGAUUAAAAUCGUUAACCUCCAAUGCAACCCAAUACUUGUAAAAUCUAGUGUUUCAGGAUUCAAACUAAAAAUCUAGAACCCACAUAAAGCAAUGGUUAAUUAAAAGAAAAACUCUACAGAAAUAAUUGUUUCUGAUAUAGAGUAAAAUGACUUUCUAAGUAGAAAAAGAAGAAAAGUAGAAAAAGGAGAUAAUGAAGAAACAGCCAUUAUUCAGUCAUUUUUCUGCAGCUUUACCUGAAAGGAGAAUUGCUUCUAUGUGAUUCAUUACAAGAUACCAACAGCAUCAGGUUCAGGAAUUGUUUGAGGAAAGUGUUCCUGACAGUGCCAUUGAGGAACAACUACCGCCCGCAAUUAUAAUGACUUCAAUAUUUACCUGAAGGAGACACCAAACAUGUGGACUCUCAGUUCCCAGACCUUCUGGUUUCCAAAAGCCUUCCUUACACUGGAGUUCAGCCAUUAUCUGCCACUGUAUUUACCUUAACCUCUUAUUUUACCAAUACCUUAAACUACCUUGCCUCUAUAUCUCAUGAGUGGAGGCCUUAAUCUAGAAGACCCACACAUCCAAGCUGUUUCCUGGAAAGUUGGCUGUCAUGUUGGAGCUGCAAUAGGAAGAGGUCAUAUGUCAAGGAACUGAAGGCAGCUGGUAGCUGGUAGCGAGCGAGGAGCUAAGGCUCUCAGCCCAACAGCCCACAAAGAAGUAAAUCUUGCCAACAACCAUGGGAGUGAACUUGGAUGCAGAUCUUGCCCUAGUUGAGCCUUGAAAUGACUGAAGCCCUGGCUAACACCUUGAUUACAAUCUUGUGAGAAGCCUUGAGCCACAGGUCCCCAGGGUACUCCCAGGGAAGACAAUGCCCUCUGGAAAUAAUCAUACCAUCAAAAAUCGCCAGCCACAUAAUGAAGUUAACAUCCAUGAAAGAAUCAACAGAUGCAACACAGCCAUGCUGACUCCUUGCUCUUCCUGUGGCACACCAGAUUUACUCCCCCUUCAAAACUUUUGCAUCUAAAGGAGUAAACAAAAUGUUUUCUUCACAUCAGGUUCAACAAAACCUUGAACAGGAAAUUUGGACACACUGAGAGAAACCAAGGAUGUGCCAGCACAGAGGGAUGACCAUGUGAUGAUUCAGCAAGAGAGUGGCCAUCUGCAAGGCAAGAAGAGAGGCCUCAGAAGAAACCAAACCUGCCAGCACCUACA